rnacentral:rRNA from 1 species
ACACGACUACAUUAGAUACCCCCGUAGUCCCAGCCCCAAACGAUGCGCGUUAGGUGUAUCGGUGACCACGAGUCACCGAGGUGCCGAAGGGAAACCGUGAAACGUGCCGCCUGGGAAGUACGGUCGCAAGGCUGAAACUUAAAGGAAUUGGCGGGGAAGCACCACAACGGGUGGAGCCUGCGGUUUAAUUGGACUCAACGCCGGGAAGCUCACCGGAUAAGACAGCGGAAUGAUUGCCGGGCUGAAGACCCUGCAUGACCAGCUG